rnacentral:lncRNA from 1 species
CUUAGCCAAUCGAAAGUAGACCUGGUGUUCGAAACACAAAGUUAUUUUGGUAAGCGGGUGCUACCUAGAUUUUGGUAUUUUCGAGACGGAAUUGAUAAAUGUUUUCUACAUAUAGCUAGCUAAUUGCAAAGUGAGCAGCAAAGAUGGUGCUUCACCUUGAUAAAGAGCAUGCACUGUUGGAAUGGGUAAGUCUGCUUUGUUUUCUGUGGUCGGAACCAAUAUAAGCUCUAAGUACUUAGUUUUGUAUGCCUUGCUAAAUUGAAUACAUUUUUUUUUCGUCACUAGGUUAACCACCUGAAUGUGGACCUCCCGGUGCGGAGCAUCAACGAUUUACAGGAUGGCGUUUUGUUGAUGAAGCUCGUCUAUAAACUGAGAAAGGAAGAGCCCGCUAAUUCCUAUUUGGACCAGCAUGUCCAGGAGAGGCUGAAAGUGGUCUCUGACUUCCUGCAAGGUGACUGUAGGUGCAGCACAGAACGGGGAGCUCUCAUCUCCUGGGACAACAUCAGCAAUGGACUAAACCUGGAGGUGGAGUUAUCCAAGGUGCUUGUGCUCCUGUACUACCAUAGUGUGAUCAACAACCAUGUUGACCUGAACCAACUGGAAUACAAGUUUGAGGUAGGCGGGUCCUUGUGCUCUUAAUGGCAUACCAAGAACUUACAUUUUGCUUGUUGCCCGAUAGUCACAUCAUUGCACUGCUAACU